UGAUUGCCUAUCUCUUCUUGACCCCAAGACCUUCCUUGGAUUUCAGAAGUGUCAAGCCUUGGGAUACAAUCUCCGAGACUCCUGCUUUACAUUAGGGACUCAAGGCGUGAGGGAGCUUCUAGGACUGAUUCCCAGAUAGUCUCUUUGAUCUUCCUUGUAGGUCUUCAAAGCUUCACCUUUCUCCAAAGGCAGAUGUGAAGAACUUGAUGUCUUAUGUCGUAACCAAGACAAAAGCCAUUAAUGGGAAAUACCAUCGUUUCUUGGGUCGUCAUUUCCCCCGCUUCUAUGUCCUGUACACAAUCUUCAUGAAAGAAAGCCUUGAGCCGGGCCAUGCUUCUCACAUCUUACCUGCCUCCUCCCUUGUUGAGACAUCGUUUGAAGACUCAUACAACUGUGAUUCACCAACUGGACAAGGCUUUGGCAAAGCUGGGGAUUGGCCAGCUGACUGCUCAGGAAGUAAAAUCGGCUUGUUAUCUCCGUGGCCUGAAUUCUACGCAUAUUGGUGAAGAUAGGUGUCGAACUUGGCUGGGAGAAUGGCUGCAGAUUUCCUGCAGCCUGAAAGAAGCUGAGCUGUCUCUCUUGCUGCACAACGUGGUCCUGCUCUCCACCAACUACCUUGGGACAAGGCGCUGAAUGAACCGUGGAGCGGAUGGCAUUGUCCUGCAGUUGCAUAAUAUAGCAGUGCAGGAACAGACAGCACUUGCCAGCAAAGUCUGUGUGUACUGUUAAGUGUGUGGGAGGCGGAGAGAGGAGCAGGGGCCAUGGGCUUCACAGCAUGGCACACAUGUGGGAACUGCAGACAUUCCCCUCACAGCUAGAACUGAAACAAACCCUCUUGCCAGGGGUGGCCCGUGUGAGAUGUCAUCCUGUCCCCCUCAUAAUUAAUAAUAGCUGGAACUGGCAGCAGCCUCUACUGGGCUUUUACUGUGAUGUGUUCAGUUCAUGUCCUAGGAAGUCAGCUUUUGCCCCAGGUGGGAAUCCUUAUUUGGCUUAGGACUGAUCCACUUCCAUGUUACUUACAUCUGUGGGUUUUUGUUGUUGCUGUUAGAAAAUUUGUGGCUGGCGAAAACAGCACUCCUUUGGCUGGAGCACUCGUGGCCGUGCAUGUACUUCAGUGUUUCCCUCCAUCCUUUCUGAUAUGACCAAAAAUCAAGUUGUUUUGUUUUUUGUCCCAUUCACUGGCAUGGUCUAACCACUUCCUUUCUUUUUCAAACCCUCUGAACACCUUUUUUUGAUGGGUAACUUGCAGGAAUAUUCUAUUGGAAAAGAUAACAGGAAGUACAAGUGCUUCUUGACCCCUUCCUCAAUGUUUCUAGCCUUCACUCUCCAUUGUCUUUUCUGGGCUGUAUUACAGCCCCCUGUGGAUCUUCAACUCUGCUGCCUCCACUGUGAUGCAGCAGUCCAACUGUAACUGACAGUGGCUGCCUUCUCUGGGCCAUGGAUCACACCUGUAAGGUACUAAUUCCUGCCCAGCCUGGGGAGAUCAGGAGAGGUCUGCAUAGAGUAAGUUGGGUUUAGCUUUUGUGUGUGCAUCAGUGACUUAUAGUUCUGUAAUAACUUAUUGUAAAUGCAUGAAGCACCGUUUUUAAACCCAAGUAAAGACUGCUUGAAACCUGUUGAUGGAAA
rnacentral:sRNA from 1 species